UCUAAAAACAGCCCGUUAAAAAAAGUAACGGAUUGCGCUUUUUUGUCAAAUUAACGGAUUAAUUUGUUACCAAAAACCAGAAAAUUAACGGAGUAAAAUUAACUAUUUACGGAUUCUUUGAAAUUUCGUUAAUUCAACGGAUUAAAUAUUCUAAUCGGUCAAAAAAAAAUUUUCAGUAUAUUAUAUCUUUUUAUUUUGAAAAUGAUAAAGUUUUGAAUGCGUUUUUCUCACAUUUACAUUUACAUCGUAGAUAAAACUUGGUUGCAGUAAGUGUAAUAUGCCAUUUUUUAAAAAGCUUUACAUUUAGUAGACAAAGCAAAUGGAUAAAUAUAAUUUAAAUUACGCUAUGUUAUUUCGAAGGUUAUUUAACUUAUUUUAAAUUUUCUAUAUAAAGCUUUAUACAGAAAAUUUAACAAUAAGGUUUAUUUUAUUUUAAAUUAAAAGCCAUUAGUAUUACUAAAUAAUAUAUAAUAACAUAUAUGGUAAGUUAAUACAUAUAAUAUAAGGUAAGUUACUACAUGUCUAAAUCUAGAAAAUUAUGCAAGAAUAUAUGCAAUCCAUAUAGUCUAUAUUAUAGAAACAAAAGUUCAACUAAUCCUUUACUAGUAGUAAAGGGUUAGUUGAACAAUUAUUUCUAUAAUAUAGACUAAAUGGAUUAUUUAUAGUCUUGUUUAACUUUAUAUUUUAGACAUAUGACAUGUAGUAACAUACCAUAUUAGUUUAAAUCAGUUGUAAAAUUAAAAAUGUUAACAUCUUUGAUAGGUAUAUUUAUUUAGGUUAGUUACAACUAAGUUUACAUGGCUAGUUAAUAUGCUUUUAUAAAUUGCAAUUUUUAUUAAUUUCCAAAUUAAACAUGUGGCGUCCAAUAUCUAAGAAAACUAAGAUUAUACUGGUGUGUUUAUAUUAUUUUAGAAUUUUUUGUUUUAGACACAUGGCAUUUGUUAUCCCACUAAUUUGCUGCUUUAGAGGCAUGGCAUUUAGUGUCACAUUGUAGGUUUAAAUUGGUUGUAGAAUUUAUAUUGUAACUUGCAUAUUUAUUUAGUUGAGUUUAAUCUAAGUUUAUAUCUGAUGUGUUUGUAUUAUUUUAGAAUUUACUGUUUUAGACACGUGGCAUGUGGUAUCCCACUAUUACAACUGAGUUUGUGUAUGGCUUGUUUAUAUUAUUUCAGAAUGUGCUAUUUUAGACACUUGGUAUAAGCUGUCAUACUACACGUGGCAUGUGGUAUCCCACUAAUUAGCUAUUUUAAACAUGUGGCAAGUGGUACGACACUGUAUUGAUGUAUGUAAAAUGUAUAGAGUCUUUCAGUUAUCAGAUAAUGUCAAGGAGUUGACAGCAUGGUGUCUGAUUCAAAGUGCGAACCUGUGUACGAGUAACAACAGUAUUCAAAACCAAAACCUAUUUAAACCAACCAAACCAAAACUAGCGACAAAAAACUAUCUUGGCAUUGGUUUAUUUUAAACGUCUAUUAUAUAUAUGUGUGUUUUUUAUAUAAAUGUACUUGCUUGAGUAUAGUGUAUUAAAAAAUUUUUUCAUGUAUUUUUAUUGUAAUUUAAAGUAUA